CGGCUGGAUGAGGAACACCAGGUAGCACAUGGAGCGGCCGAAGACCCAGCCGUGCGGGUUGAAGGCGUAGGCGAGGGUGAAGGGGACGCACGUCACGCACAUGAGCAUGUCGGAGAAGGCCAGGUUCCCGAUGAACAGCGUUGCCCAUGAGCUGUCCAAAUGGUCUCCAGAUUGUGCUACGUACGAAACCGACUGCUCGAACGAGAGAUCAAAUAAACCGAAUGUAUUUCCAUUGAAGUGCACAUUUACAUAGAGAACAGCACGGUGGGGGUGAGGAUGGCAGAAAAGGAACGAGUGGAAGAUGCUGGAAGCGCCAGGAGCCCCCAGUUUCAUCACCGGCUCCACGCAGACACGCAAACAAAACCUCGGCUCCAGCUUUGUUCCCCAGGCGAUCGGAGCUCGUACAGACUCACAACUGACUCACUGACCCCCUACACAUUCACGGAUGAAAGCGAGCAAACUAGCCGCCGCUAAAGUCUAUAGCGCUGCACCGCUCACUCCAAAUAUAAUAAACUCUGCCGAUAUGUUGUGUUUGUUUUAGAUGUGUAUACAGAAGCUUAUUGUGCUUUUCUUUAACAAGGUUUAUCUUUUAUAAGGUUUCUAGUUAAGUUCAUUUUGCAGGUUGCCAUUUAGUUGCCAUGGCAAUACAGUAUUUGCUGUAUUAUGUUCAUUCACUUAGGAUUGCUGGAUGAUAUUGAAGCCUUUUUCACUGUCUGACUUAUUUUUACAUCCAUAAAUGUUCUUUUUUACUUGUUUGUUUCAUCUGCACUAUUUAUUGGCUCUUUUAUUUUAUGUUUUUACAGAAGAUCAGUUCAUAAAUAAAACGUCCUCUCUUGGGGGCGGACACAGCUUUGUUCCAUUGGCAUGAUUUACAGUAAGCAACACAUUCCCUUAAUGUGGUCUUUGUUGAAAUCAUUAGCAUGCUGUCAUUUUUAUAGCACACAAUGAGAAACAACUUUAAAUCAACUGAAUCUGAAUGUUGAAGAGAAAUUAAAAACAUUCUUUCCAAAUUAAGAAUGAGGAACGUUUAUUGAGGCAAAUAAAAAAAGAAACAACUCUUCCACUGAGACAAAGCCCGUAUCAGCCGGUGUAAACAGCCUGUGGAGAUGUUGGCUGUGAAACCUAAACUGAUUCUGAAUCAGCCACGUACAGCGCAAGCCC